rnacentral:lncRNA from 1 species
UUUCUUGAUAACAAUAUACAAAAUUUAGCAAAACAAGAACACUAAUAACACUAUCAAUCUUCUCAUUUCUUGAUAACAAUAUACAAAGUUUAGCAAAACAAGAACACUAAUAACACUAUCAAUCUUCUCAUUUCUUUAUAACAAUAUACUAAAUUUAGCAAAACAAGAACACUAACAACACUAUCAAUCUUCUCAUUUCUUGAUAACAAUAUACAAAAUUUAGCAAAACA